GUGAUGGCGGGAACUCAAAGGAGACUGCCGGUGAUAAACCGGAGGAAGGUGGGGAUGACGUCAAGUCAUCAUGGCCCUUACGAGUAGGGCUACACACGUGCUACAAUGGCGUAUACAAAGGGAAGCGACCCCGCGAGGGCAAGCGGAACUCAUAAAGUACGUCGUAGUCCGGAUUGGAGUCUGCAACUCGACUCCAUGAAGUCGGAAUCGCUAGUAAUCGUAGAUCAGAAUGCUACGGUGAAUACGUUCCCGGGCCUUGUACACACCGCCCGUCACACCAUGGGAGUGGGUUGCAAAAGAAGUAGGUAGCUUAACCUCCGGGAGGGCGCUUACCACUUUGUGAUUCAUGACUGGGGUGAAGUCGUAACAAGGUAACCGUAGGGGAACCUGCGGUUGGAUCACCUCCUUACCU
rnacentral:rRNA from 1 species